rnacentral:rRNA from 1 species
CAUUAAAAGUAAUAUAUAUUCAUUGGAAUAUACAUUUCAAACCCCUUGUCUAAACUACCUGUUGCUUCCGGCUGUUUGGGCUGUACAGCUAGCUGUAUAGCCUGGCCGGAAGGUUGACAUAAAAUAUUGUAUUUAGAGUCUUCUGAAUUGUUAAAACAAAAGUUAAAACUUUCAACAACGGAUCUCUUGGUUCUCGCAUCGAUGAAGAACGCAGCGAAAUGCGAUAAGUAGUGUGAAUUGCAGAAUUCAGUGAAUCAUCGAAUCUUUGAACGCACAUUGCGCCUUCCGGUAUUCCGGGAGGCAUGCCUGUCCGAGCGUCAUCAAAAUCCACUCAAGUAGUUUUGCUUGGUCAUGAAAGAAGAGUUUGCUUUGCGGAUUCCCUUUCGAAAUUCAAUGGCAGAGAGUCUCAUGAUUCCGGCGUAGUAAUAACUUAUUCGCUUGGUCAUUGUAACAAUCUUGCCC